CUGCAUGAGUUGUGUCGUGCUGUAAAUAUGGACAAAGAAUAAGUUUGAUGGUAUUUAGGUGAGCAUCGUGUGUCAUAGAUGCUCACAAAGAACCAUCACACAUAU